AAUAGAUACCCCGGUAGUCCACGCCGUAAACGAUGGAUACUAGCUGUUCGGCGUAAGCUGAGUGGCUAAGCGAAAGUGAUAAGUAUCCCACCUGGGGAGUACGAACGCAAGUUUGAAACUCAAAGGAAUUGACGGGGGCCCGCACAAGCGGUGGAGCAUGUGGUUUAAUUCGAUGAUACGCGAGGAACCUUACCAGGGCUUAAAUGUAGAUUGACAGGUUUAGAGAUAGACUUUUCUUCGGACAAUUUACAAGGUGCUGCAUGGUUGUCGUCAGCUCGUGCCGUGAGGUGUCAGGUUAAGUCCUAUAACGAGCGCAACCCCUGUUGUUAGUUGCCAGCGAGUCAAGUCGGGAACUCUAACAAGACUGCCAGUGCAAACUGUGAGGAAGGUGGGGAUGACGUCAAAUCAUCACGGCCCUUACGUCCUGGGCUACACACGUGCUACAAUGGUAGGGACAGAGAGCAGCCACUUCGCGAGAAGGAGCGAAUCUAUAAACCCCUAUCACAGUUCGGAUCGGAGUCUGCAACUCGACUCC
rnacentral:rRNA from 1 species